CAUUAGUCACUAGCCUUUCGUUGUUCUGUUUACCAACGCCAAUUAACCGUAGAGUGCCUUAGUUGUCAAUCAAACUCAAUGUGACUACGAGUUAUCCAAUCAGCUUAAUUGUUUCUACCACAUGAAAACCAAUCAGGAUUGUCUGUCGAGAUCACGUGACAGAUGUCACUCCACAGUGUUAAAAGUAUAGUUUUAGAGUUAAACGGCAAUUAGGUCUUCUGAGACCUGGGGGGAGUAGAUUAGAUAGACGUUAUUAUAUCUAACUACAAUGACUUUCACAUGUAGAGUUGUACAUGUAAAUAUGUUAUCCAGUAUUAAAAUAUCUUUUUAAUAAAAAAAAGAGUUAUGCAUUCUAUCACAGUUGUCCUUUGUCAGCAUACAAGUGCCAAGACGUCGUAACAGCUGCAGUAGCUUUAUUAAACUUUCAACAACUGCAUCACAUUAACCGAGUCAAAUAUAUCAAUUGUAUGAGAUGUAACUUUCGAUUAGUAUUAUGUUAGAGAAUUUAAUAAGGUGUCUGGAAAAAAACGUAGGCCCAUAUCUACUCCAUGAUUAUAAAAAUAAGUCACAAUUCAGACGUCUCUAGAUUACUAGUGCCAGGUUGUUGUUUAUCAUGUCUCUCAAGGUGUUACCUAUAGUUUUACUGUGUAUUUAUGUGUGUGGCGUAAUAUCCAUGCCACACGGAAAUGGGCAUCAACCACCACCACCACCACCCCCUGGGGGUCCACCUGGAGAGUUAGAGAGGUGUGAUAUUGUAGGCGGUACCUGUGUUACACAAGAAGAAGGCUGUUCCGGAACGAUUGCGAUAUAUAUUUGUAUGGAUAAUAAUCAGGCGUGCUGUAUGGAUUAAACAUCACUUAUAACUCUACAUAGAUGACGUCAAAAAUCUGUCACAGCCCGUAUAACAAAACAAUAAUAAAAAUUGUAACGAAACCUAAA